UUUACAUUGUUAACUUGAAGAGCAUUCAGCGUUUAAUUUGUUAAACUAUGAGGGGGAGACAAUUAUUAUUACUUGUGUUACUAUGCCAAGUUGUUUUCGUUCAAGAUGUGUUCAGCCACUCUGGCGGUGAUACCACAGCUAAUAAAAUCGUGGGUGGGGAAUACAUCGGAAUUGAAGAAGUUCCUUUUCAAGCUUUUGUGUUAACAGAUAAGAAUACUUGUGGAGGGGUCAUAUAUAAUGAAGAAUAUAUUGUGACUGCCGCACAUUGUCUUCAAGAUAUCAAAAGAGUUCAAAUAAGAGUGGGAUUUAACAGUUGGUAUGAUUCGGAAGAAAAAUAUCCAUACAUGAAUGGAACCUAUACCGUGCAUGAAAAAUAUAACAAUCCUGGAAAGAAUACUAAUUUUGAUUAUGACAUAGCACUCAUUAAAUUAUUAAAAAAGUUGAAGCUUGAUGGUGUUAAAAUAGCCAAAGCCACCUUCGUCGAACGGGGAAAUGAGCUUGCUGAUGGUACAAACUGCACAGUGUCUGGAUGGGGCUCUACAACUGAAGGCGGGGCACCCUCUGCGUAUUUAAAGUCAGCCUUUCUUGAGAAAGUAAAUUAUAAGGAAUGUUCAAAAGACUACGAAAAAUAUCUAACCCCGAGAAUGGUCUGUGCUGCUCCUCCUUCAGAUCGUUGGGCUGAAUUUUCUAAUGUGUGUCGGGGUGAUUCCGGCGGUCCCCUCUUUGACACGGCAACCAAGAAAGUCGCUGGAUUGACGUCUUUUCUACAAGAUUGUGAAGAAUAUAUGCCUGCGGUUUUUACCAACUUAGCUGAUGAUGGUUUGAGGGAUUGGCUUAAAAAUCAUACACAAAGCGAAAAUUAAAUCAAGAAAAAUUUAAUAAAAUAUUUCCAUUGAUUAUUUUUCAUUUAAUAUGUAUAUUCAUAAAUGUGUGUAUGACAAAAUAAUUUCAAUUUA